rnacentral:rRNA from 1 species
UACGGAGGGUCCAAGCGUUAUCCGGAAUCACUGGGUUUAAAGGGUGCGUAGGCGGAAGAUUAAGUCUAAGUUGAAAGUAUGUCGCUUAACGAUAUAAUUGGCAUGGAUACUGGUUUUCUUGAAUUGGGUUGAGGAUAGCGGAAUGUGACAUGUAGCGGUGAAAUGCAUAGAUAUGUCAUAGAACACCAAAUGCGAAGGCAGCUAUCUGGGCCUUGAUUGACGCUGAGGCACGAAAGCGUGGGGAUCGAACAGG